GUCCCAUGGAGGUAGGCCUAGAUGUGACACUGACCUGCCUUUCUCCCUACUGCCCAGUUGAGAGCUAAAAAUCCUGAGUCCCACUGGCAUGGCCAGGACCCAGCUCCCCUGGCCUGGGCCAUUGCAGAAUAGCCACUGCCCUGUAUCUAGCUCAGAAGAGAGGCUAAGUGGCCUGAGCACAUGAACUCCUGAAUUCUAGUCAUGCCUCUAAUAAUUAUGCCUUUGUGAACUUGGAUUGAGCAAUGGAAAUCAUUUAGAGUGACUGCUCUGUUCUUGCGUAACUGCGAAUCAGCCAAUGUGCCACUGUAGCCUGUGGCAGCCAGGAUCAAUCAGGAUCUCAGCAGAGAAGUGUGUUGCUUUGAGAGAGCUCUUCACAGGGUGGACUCUUCUUACUUUGUUAGGGCGGUUGUCUGCAUCUUCAGCCAUUGGUUUUGAACUCUAUUUCAUCAGAACAGGCUGAUGCUGGAGGUUGAUUCCAUCAUCCAUACAUACUUCAUUCACACAUCUAACCUAAACUAAUAAGAUUACAGAAGGGUUUGCAAAAAUGAAGGUUGCAGCAAGCUUUUACAAAAUGAAGUAAGCGUUUUAAAAUGGGGUUUGAAUUACAAUAUGGCAAACCGUGAACAGAAGUAGCCAAGUGAAGUGAAUGGCAAACAGUGAACAAAAGUUACAAUACUGAAACAGUGCAAGUCUCAGUGAUGUAAGCAGGAAUUGGAUUGACAGUGAAAUUUACAAGGGCAACUGGCUGAAGGCUGUAGCUCUUAACAAGCAUCUUAAUUGUCA